rnacentral:rRNA from 1 species
AUGAUGUCAUCGUCAAGCCGCAGCACGCGCAGGCGGCGGCAGGUCACUAGGGAUGCAUCCCCGUGGGCGUCGCUGCACGGAGAGCUGCUGGAGCUGGAUCUGAUCGCGUGGCGGGUGCUGGCGGUGGACCUGCGGGACUACGUCCGGCUCCGCGCCGUGUGCGCGCACUGGCGCGCCAGCACCACCUGCCCGAGCGGCCGCGGCAUCGUCGAAGGUCGCUUCCACCCACGGCACUGGACGAUGCUGCCCGAGGGCCACGGCCUCCACCCGGGCCACCGCAAGCUGCGCGAUUUCGUCCGUUUCUUCAGCCUCUCCACCGGCGCCUUCGUCCGCGUCCACCUCCCGCUAUUCAGGGACCACUGCGCUCUCGACUCCAUCGACGGCAUCCUUCUGCUGCAGCGGGACCACGACACCGCCGCCCGCCUCCUCAACCCUUUGACGGGCGACAUCGUCGACUUUCCGCAUCUAUGA